rnacentral:lncRNA from 1 species
UUUUUGUGCCUUAGCUUAUCCAGCCCUCAAAUGGGUGUGGUGGGGAAGUUGUCUUCCUUGCAAUCCACAGAGUCCUUUUUGUGGAAAAGCCAACAUUUCUCUCUCUGAUGCUGUUUUCUUCACAAUGUCCUCAAUGUGCUGUGUGGAGACAGUUUUAAAGGGAAUUGGAGAAUUCCUCGGGUCAUGGACACGUUGAUUCAGCCGCUCAACAGAACACGGUGGCCUGGGUGGAUAGAGAGGUUACUAGUACCUGCCUCUCUGAGAAGUCAGUGACCAUGUCAACCUUCUAGGCUGAGCAGCAACACUUCAGAAAACUUCCCC